rnacentral:misc_RNA from 1 species
GAAAUGCGAUAAGUAAUGUGAAUUGCAGAAUUCAGUGAAUCAUCGAAUCUUUGAACGCACCUUGCGCUCCUUGGUAUUCCUUGGAGCAUGCCUGUUUGAGUAUCAUGAAAUCUUCAAUGUAAAUCUUUUGUUAACUCAAUUGGUUUCUACUUUGGUAUUGGAGGUCUUUGCAGCUUCACACCUGCUCCUCUUUGUUCAUUAGCUGGAUCUCAGUGUUAUGCUUGGUUCCACUCUGCGUGAUAAGUUAUCUAUCGCUGAGGACACUGUAAAAGGUGGCCAAGGUAAAUGCAGAUGAACCGCUUCUAAUAGUCCAUUGACUUGGACAAUACUUUUAUGAUCUGAUCUCAAAUCAGGUAGGACUACCCGCUGAACUUAAGC